ACCAGCCUGAGCAACAUAGCAAGACCCCUUCUUUACAAAAAGUUUAAAUUUUAUAAUAAAAAGAAAAAAAUAAUAGUGCUGGCCUCACAAGGCCUUGAUAGGGAUUAUCUCAGUCAUGAUGAUCACUUUAUAAAUAUUAAUAAAAAUAAAAGCCAAUCUUAACUUUGAAUAUGAAUGGUGCCAAAGAGCAGCAAAAUGAAAAAAUGUGUAUAGUUAAAUAAUUACUUUGAGUUUCCUGUUUAUAUUUUCAUGAUUGAAAAGUUCUCAAGAGCAGAAUACCAAAAGCUAGAAGUGGUAACACUAUUUUAUUUCCAUAUUUCUUUGGAACUGUAGUUGUCUAAAAAGUAUCAUAAAUUAAAAAGCCAAGUGGCUAUGACUUUUCUGUCUUGUUUAGCUCUGUGUCACAGAACCCAAGUUACAGAUAUUCUAAUCAUAAUUUUCUAAUUUUCUUGAGUGGCUUUAUAAAAUGUUUUUCCCUAAAUGACUUAAUAUAGUGUUUAUAUGGUGUUCUUUUGUUUAUUUUAUGAACAAUAAUAUUUCUUUUUGCUUUGAUCAAUUCAAAAUAUAAUUUAUGCUCCUAGCUAUGUGUUGGAACAUCUCCAAAAGGCUCUCAAGGAUAAUUUCUAAAAAAAAAUGGAGGGAAGGGUUUAUAAAUGUCUUAAAUCAAUUACUUUGAUAGAUUACAUGAGGAUUUGCAGCAUUAGGAUUGAGUUCAGAAGAGGCAACACAAGGGGACCGUUUCUUCAGAAAACUUGAUAUAAAUAAGCAGAUUGUUAGGUCAAAGAAGGGGAGCUGCAGGGACAACUAAGCUAUCUGUGUGGCCCCAUCUUUCCUGUGAUGGGCUUGGAACCUGCAUUGUGUGGCAUCAGUUACUGUGACAACCAACAAUAGGAAAAGAGUUAGAGGCUUAACAAGAAAGAGUAAAUAGGACCAGAAAAACUGGACAUCUAUGCUGACUCACAAAGGCUUGCCAGGAAAGGAGCCAGGCAGAGAAGGUUGUGGCCCAUUUAUGGUCUUGAAAUCAACUGAAUGUGUUAUGACCAGCGAGACAAAACGAAACAGAAUGGAACAGGGGGAAAUGUAGCAGCAUGUCAUAUUAGGUGACUGGAGUCAGGGAGAGAGCCUGUGCCUGUGCGAGGAAUGGUACAUAACCUCCGUGCUCCUUGGAAAAUCAGCAGCAGCAUUUUCAUAUCUGAAGAAUCUCUAUGCCAACUAUGUCAACCUUUUCAGAUGUGCAAAUUGCACCUAGUAGGUACAAGGGCUAGCAGAUGGCUCUAAUUUCAGAGUGCCCUUGACUACUAAAAAGAAGGCACUGAUGAGAAUUUGUCUCAGGCCAGUAUUUGGUUCUGCUACAUAUAGAAGGGAUUAGCCCUUCACUCGGAGGAUCACCAGCACAUACUCUCUGUGUGGCCCAGUCCAACUUCUGUCCUGUGGGCUGCUGCCCUGUUCUACCACCUAGUGCCCAGGCAAAACCCACAUUUUAAAAUGCAAAGGAAUAACCACUGCAUGGUAAACUUAGUGGGAAGGAAUCAUACAUACUACAGGAUCAGAUGUGCAUCCACAGGAGCAAUUUUCUGAAUUGACCAAGAAGGUAAGAGCAUCUCUGACUUUG
rnacentral:lncRNA from 1 species